ensembl:lncRNA
ACAGUGCUUACAAGUACAACAAAAGUGGCAUGCAGUAAAGCAACUGUUGUUUCUGUUUAAACUGAACCAAAUCCUGCUGAGCUAUGCAGAACACCAGCGAAAUGCAGAUGUUUGUUUUGCUCAUCAAAAUGUUUGUCUUCUAAGUUUAGAAACAGAAUUUGCUUUCUUGCCUUUUUGUCCCUCAUGACAGAUGCUACUUGUACAAAACAUAGUGUAAAAUUAAAUGAAACAGCAACUAAGAUCUAUCUUUUUACUUUCCCAUCUAUUGAUGUAUCUUUCUGUAUGUUAUCUUGGUAUACUUUUACUUUCUGGAUAUAUACAUAUGUAUUCAUACUUGUGUGGUUUUAGUACCACUCAAAAAGGACUGCAGGAUUGCGUUUUACCUCCAUUACAACAGAUUAUCUAAAUAACUGAUGAAAUACUUUACUGAAGCCAUUGGUGGUGACCUACCAAUCGCAGCAGCCGUUAGGCUAAACCAGAUCCAAAAUUCAUUCGUAUCAGUGGGUAUUCAUUUAUAUUUUACAGAGUAAAUUGGUAACAAUUAACUAACAUUUGUCAUGUUUCCUGUCCCUUAGGUAGUGAUGUCCGGUUUUCCCAGUUCUAACAGCUCCCAAGGUUUGCAGCUACUAGGUUUUCUGUAAUGGCUUGUACUUGGAGAAUCUCUUUCAAAAUCGGUGAGCAGGGUGCUCUUGUGCUGGACUAUGAGGAGUAACUUUCUACGAGUUUUGGAACUGUGCUGAUAUGGCACUUGGCAAGCUUUACCUGGGAGCAUCUCGUGCAGAGAACAUGAAGAGCAUAUCAGAGGUUAGAGGAUAAAGAAAAGCAGAAAUAUUUGCUCUUCUCCAGAUGCCUGUGACUCACAUGCUGAUGAGUGCCUGUUCUGCUUUAGCCUCCAAUGCAUCUUUUGAGGCCUGAUGUUCCAGGGAGGUCCUUGUGCUGCAUAUAUUUGAGAUCAAAGCCAGGACCUAUCAAAUGUGAACAGGUUUGAUGACUAGAAAGACAAGAAAGCUGCUCCCGCACUUUGCUGUUCUGGUUCUGUACUUGCAGGAGGGGAAAAAAAGGAAAAGGAUGAGAAAGCAAGACUUGACUACAUGCAAUAGCAGAUAUGGCUGGAUGUAGAAGCAGAUCUGCAGAAAGAUAAAAAAUCUUCUGUGAAUAACUUCAGAGAGUUGCACGUCAACCUGCUCUGCAACACAAAUCACUACACUUCAUGGAGGAUGAGACAGGAGAAUAGCCAAAGGAAGUCGAUGAGGAUGGCUGUACUGGCGAGGAACUAAGGAGCUGACAUUACUUCAUCUGAAGAGAAAAGAAGACAAAGCACUCCUUGUAUGGUUAAAAAAAAAAAGAGGCAGAAGCAUCAAAUGAAGGACUGUUUGAAUUGGAAAACUAAUGAGUAUUUCAGGUAAGAGAGUUUGAGGGAAAAAUUAAGGAUUAUAGCUUAAAAGGAGAAAAUUCCUUAAUCACUAAGAAGACAGUCUGAUAGUCAACAUUUGCUUGCUUGUUAAUGUUAACAAAUAAUAUGAAAAUACAUAGUAACUAAUAAAAAACCCAUGAUCAGCAUGUUUCUUUCUUUCAUAAGCAGGUUAUUCAAAUCCACACUUAAUCUAACACUGGAAGCAGUUCCAGCAGCAGCAGCACCUUGAGGAGGACAUCGGGAGGAGGUCAGAGAGGUAGUUUUAUGAAGUGCAUUAAUUAGAUGUAAUGAAAUAUUCUACGUUUACAGGUCCUUUCAUCUAAGGUUUUUGACGCAAUUUAUAAACAUUGCUGCACUGCAAAAGGAAAAACAGUCAUUGCAUAAAACUUUCAGGAGUACUGAAGUAUUACUGACUUGCUGUAAUAACUAGGCAUCAAAACGUCCAAGUCACCAUAAAAAUACCUUAAUUUAAAUACAUUUAGUUGCAUCUAGAUGCUUUCAAUUUGUCCCAGUUUUCUUCAUAUUAUUAAAAACCAUACAAACAGAGCCAGAUUCUGUUCUCUCAUCCAGCUGGGAGCUGUUCUGACAACCUCUGUUGAUAUUUGCUGCCACGAGGAGCAGGUAACUGCCAUGAGAGAGCUCUUCUCUGGGCUGAACAAACCAAGGGACCUCAGCUGCUCCCCCCACACCUUGUCUCCAGAGCCUCCCCCAUCUCUGUAGGCUCCUCUUUGGUACUUCAUCAGGACAUCAGGUACUCCUGUGUCCCCUCCCACUGUCCCCAGUGGGAAUGGCUUUGCCCCACAGGGUGAAGCCCAGGCCUGCACCUGCUGCUGCAGCUGCCAGCCCUGUCCACCCUGGGACAGGCGCUGCCUGACAGGUCUGUGCUCAGCACUGCUGCACUGGCUCCACAUCUUGUUUGCAUGACAGCAGUGUGGGGUGCAAAAAAAAAAAAAGGCAUUUUCACACACAGCUCCUAAAGCCUUUCUUCUUGCUCUUUCCCAGUAAUUUCACCUCUCACAGCAAAUUUAAAGAAAACAGUGCUAGAUUUCCUACAGCAAAAGUUCUCUCUUCACAGCCAGGAGCAGCUGGAGGAUGCCAAAUGAUGAAGAGCAUCACCCCCUUACACCUUUACAGAAAAGAAGAGCUAUGACCCAAAGAAAGAACACCUUCAGACACAAACACAGCAGAGGCCCAAGCCUCCCAAGCCCUCUGACUCUGAUACCACCGCGAUCACUGAGCUUUCCAAAGGUUUCACAUUUCUUGACACCUUUCACGUGCCAUUCACUCCCAAAAGAGGUGAAACUAAUCCUCUAUGACUCUUGCCAGACCAAAAUUGCACAAACACUUGCUCAAAUUAAGGCCAGUUUGUCAUUAAUGGGUCUAUCAAUUAACUCUUUUCAUUACCUGUGCCAGCAGCAUGAAUUAUGAAAAGAAGGUAUGAGAAGAAAUGGGGAUAAGGGCUUACAGUGCUCAAACAUAAGAUUGAAGUCUGCCAAACAUGAUGUCCACCAAAUUUUUACUGCUAAAAAGUUGAGGUCACCCAAUGAGAAAUACAGAGACAGUAAGAUGAUCAAAAUACCUCAGGAGAAGAAUGAAUGAACAAUUUGAAAAAAAAAAAAAAAGAGAGAAAAGCACUGUGCACUCCAACAACAGCAUCUUAAGUGCAAAACAUCAUUGUACAGAACUUUAUUACGAAGUGAUAAAUCAGCACGCUGAGGCUUCAUUAACUUCAGUGGAACCAGACUGAUUUAUGCCAGCUGAGUCAAUGGCUGCGUUUAUAUGUCUGCAUACGUCAAAAUUAAUCAUGUUUGGAAAAAUAGAAGAUUCUAGGAAUAUAUCCCAGAGGAGAAGAUAUAUAUACUUAUUUAUAAAUUCUACUAAUAAGGUGAUACUUAGCAGGCCUUUCUACAGGACUCUGAGUGACACAGUUGUCCUGAGGUGGACUUCUGCCCUCCUGCAUGGCAAGAAACAGAAUCACAAAAUAUCCCAAGCUGGAAGGGACCCAGAAGAAUCACUGAGUCCAACUCUGGCUCCACACAGGACCACCCAAACCCAAUGUCUCAGAGCAGUGCCCAAACGCGCCCUGAGCUCCAGCAGCCUGUUCCAUGCCCACUGCCCUCUGGUGCAGAGCCGUUACCCCAAACCAACCUGACCCUCCACUGAGGCGGCUCCAUGCCAUUCUCUCAGGUCGUGUCACCGUUACCGGAGAGCAGAGCUCAGUGCUGCCCCUCGGCUCGCAGUGAGGAGCUGUGGGAUGACAUGAGAGAGCUUUUCUCUGGGCUGAACAAACCAAGGGACCUCAGCUGCUCCCCUCCACCCCUUGCCCUCCUCAGCAGCACGAGUUAUGAAAAGGAGGCAUGGAUUACAUCUUACAGGCCUCCAAGAUCCUGAUUAUGCUGUUUGAUGAUUCUACAUAAAAUAAACAUUUCUAGCCCAAGACAGACAGCAGCAUUGAAAAGCCCUUAGUUUUUUUUUUCCAGGUAAUCUUCAGAUAUGUGAAAAUCCUGGAAAACUCAGCGAAAGUAUUAAAAAAAGAACAACCACGUGACAUGAAACAUUCAAGCAGACAGAGCCAACUCUUGUCUACAGAUCUGCUGGAUGUUCACAGAUGUUUAUUUCAGAUUAUUGGGACUCUGUUAUUUCCAGCAUAGCUGUGCUUUUGUCCUUGGAAUUUCCUAACAUCUUAAAAACUGCUCUGUUUCUCACUUCAGCCACCACUUUAAGGCUUCUUGUCUCUCACCCCUCAGGCAAGACCUAGUUUUGCAUAGUUUACACACUCUUACAAUUCAGAAGCUUUCUAGAUGAUAUCCCAUCAGGCUGUCUAGCUCUUUUAUUGUAAACAUAGCUUGUUACUAUUGAAUGCAAAGAUCAACAGAAGCUGAUAGCAAUGAAUGAUUAUCACUAAUUCACUUUGGAAAAUAUGUUCCACAAGAAGAGUUGUCAUGAUAAAAAAAACCCCGAAACUGCUAUGGAUGUUAAGAGUAAGAAUACAGACAAAUGAAUAAGAAUUAGAGAAAUAAAUAAAAAAAAAUGAUAAAAGGAGAAAGCAGAUUGUUUCUUUGUAUAAUCACGAUCCUUUUGAUUGAUUGACAUGAAGGCCAUGGCUCACUUGACCUGAUUUUAUGUGUAAAGCUUACUAAAAUGAAAAUAAAAUAAAAUAAA